rnacentral:rRNA from 1 species
GUCCACGCCGUAAACGAUGGGCACUAGGUAGCGGCCGGAUCCGACCGGUCGCUGCUGACGGAAAUCCAUUAAGUGCCCCGCCUGGGGAGUAUGGUCGCAAGGCUUAAACUCAAAGGAAUUGACGGGGGCUCACACAAGCGGUGGAGGAUGUUGCUCAAUUCGAAGCAACGCGAAGAACCUUACCAGGGCUUGACAUGCUGGGAUUAACUCGGUGAAAGCCGAGGGAUUGCCUUCGGGUGUAACCAGCACAGGUGUUGCAUGGCUGUCGU